UACAGAGGGUGCUAGCGUUGUUCGGAAUCAUUGGGCGUAAAGGGCGUGUAGGCGGUUUGUUAAGUCAUGUGUGAAAUCCCUCGGCUCAACCGGGGAAGGACGCAUGAAACUGGCAAGCUAGAGUACCAAAGAGGGGGGGUGGAAUUCCCGGUGUAGCGGUGAAAUGCGUAGAUAUCAGGAGGAACACCAAUUGCGAAGGCAGCUCGCUGGGACGUUACUGACGCUGAGACGCGAAAGCGUGGGGAGCAAACAGG
rnacentral:rRNA from 1 species